rnacentral:tRNA from 1 species
GCCGGAGUGGUGAAAUUGGCAGACGCGCUGGACUCAAAAUCCAGUGGGGUUUAUUCCCCGUGUCGGUUCGAGUCCGACCUCCGGCACCA